GUGCACCUGUAGCUCAGCUGGAUAGAGCAUCGGCCUUCUAAGCCGAGGGUCGGGGGUUCGAGUCCCUCCUGGCACA
rnacentral:tRNA from 1 species